rnacentral:tRNA from 1 species
GGAGGAUUGGCCGAGUGGUAAGGCACCGGCUUGCUAAGCCGUGGUCGGGUGAGAGCCUGCGCACGUUCGAUCCGUGCAUCCUCCGCCG